rnacentral:rRNA from 1 species
GAUGAACGCUGGCGGCGUGCCUAAUACAUGCAAGUCGAGCGAACAGACGAUGAGCUUGCGCCGUGGACGUUAGCGGCGGGGGGGUGAGACACGCGUGUAUAACCUACCUGUCUGAGGGGGAUCACUUCGGAACACCGGCGCUAAUACCGUAUAAUAUAUUGCACCGCAUGGUUGGAUAGUGAAAUACGGCUUUGCUGUCAGUUAUAGAUGCAUACGCGCCGUAUGGGCUAGUUGGUGAGGUAACGGCUUACCAAGGCAACGAUGCGUAGCCGACCUGAGAGGCUGAUCGGCCACCUGGGAACUGAGACGCGCUCCAGGCUCCUACGGGAGGCAGCAGUAGGGAACCUGCCGCAAUGGGCGAGAGCCUGACGGAGCAACCCCGCGUCAGUGAUGAAGGCCUUGGGUGCGUGAAGCCCUGUUACGAGUUAAGAACAAAUUUGUAAGUAACUAUGCACGUCGUGACGGUACCUGGUCAGAAAGCCACGGCUAACUACGUG